GACGAACGCUGGCGGCGUGCUUAACACAUGCAAGUCGAACGGAAAGGCCCUGCUUUUGUGGGGUGCUCGAGUGGCGAACGGGUGAGUAACACGUGAGUAACCUGCCCUUGACUUUGGGAUAACUUCAGGAAACUGGGGCUAAUACCGGAUAGGAGCUCCUGCUGCAUGGUGGGGGUUGGAAAGUUUCGGCGGUUGGGGAUGGACUCGCGGCUUAUCAGCUUGUUGGUGGGGUAGUGGCUUACCAAGGCUUUGACGGGUAGCCGGCCUGAGAGGGUGACCGGCCACCAUGGGACUGAGAUACGGCCCAGACUCCUACGGGAGGCAGCAGUGGGGAAUAUUGCACAAUGGGCGGAAGCCUGAUGCAGCAACGCCGCGUGCGGGAUGACGGCCUUCGGGUUGUAAACCGCUUUCGCCUGUGACGAAGCGUGAGUGACGGUAAUGGGUAAAGAAGCACCGGCUAACUACGUG
rnacentral:rRNA from 1 species